CUUGGAAAGACCAAGUAGGUAUUAUGAAUACACUCUACAGAAGAGGACAGUAAGAAUCAAAUUUGUGGAAGUCUACCCAUCUGUUUCCGUUUAGGUAAAAUGGAUAGAAUAAUAGUACUUACCUCAAAGGAUUGUUGAAGAGAAUCAACAAGAUGAUAUCCCUGAAGCACUGGGAAUAGUGUCUGGCACACAGCACUCUCCCAGGAGCACACCGCGGCGCUAGAGAAGACCAGGAAAAAGGACCUGAGCCAGCUUGCCGUCUUAACAAAAAUUUCAAACUUUGCAAAGCGGUAUACCUUCUUAUUCUCCAGUUCAGUAUUGCCAGUGAAGUCAUACUGAACGCAGACAAGGAAAAGAAAGAAAAAGAAACACAAUUCGUGGUUGCAAAAUCCUGGAACCAACCCAAAUGCCCAUCAAUCAAUGAGUGGAUACAGAAACUGUGUGUAUAUAUAUAUAUACACGAUGGAAUACUACUCAGCUAUAAAAGGCAUGAAUUAACGGCAUUUGCAGCAACCUGGAUGAGAUUGGAGACUAUUAUUCUAAGUUAAGUAACUCAGGAAUGGAAAACCAAACAUCAUAUGUUCUCACUGUUAGGUGGGGGCUAAGCUAUGAGGACGUAAAGGCAUAAGAAUGAUACAA
rnacentral:lncRNA from 1 species